rnacentral:sRNA from 1 species
UUCCACGACAAACUUCGCAAGGAUAGUGCCUGUGAGAAACGAGGCGCACCCUUGCUUGCGGAUGGGAUAAUCUGCCAAUCCACCGACUUUUCUCACCACGUGAUCGUGCGUCAGUCGCACUCGACUCUUCUACCUUGUAAUUGGUAGAUUUGGGGCCUCUCAAUCUAGCUUUUGAAGCUGUGUUGAUUCAUUUAAAUGCUGUGGAUGCAGCAGCAUUCUUUCAUAGAUUUGGAAUUGAGCUGAUCAGGAUGAGGAAAUCAAGUGUUGUUCUGUUUCCUUUUUUUUUCGGGUUCAAUUUUGAUGUCUUGCCGGGAUUUUUGUCGUCUCAGCUGCAAGUAAUACCAUAAGGUUUUUCUUUGCUUUUUCCACGACUGGUUUUCUGGUUUUUUUUGCAGCAUGAGAGUUGAAGCGACAAAAAGUGAUUAAGACAGCCAUGUUUGAAACUGGGCUUGCAUGAUUGCGCUUUACUGAGGUUUCAUGCAUUUUUAGCGUAAGGAAGAGAAUUGAGAUAUUCGAUAUAAGAUCUCACCUGGUAUGAGGCGCAGUUUCAUUUCAUUGCUUACCCAUCCAUGCAUAUUGGUCUUCCUUGUUGGCCCUGUCCUCUGAACCUCGUAUUUCAGAAAAGAACCUCAACCUUGUUAAGACUAUGAACCGGAUUGAUUCCUUGGUUGGAUGAAAAAUCAGCCCAUAUAUUUCCGCAGUCACGAAGACGUGGAAUGUGAAAAACUGUAGGCAAAUUCAGCAGCGCCUUUCACAUUCUCGCACUGGGACAUUGAUGGUUUUCAUUUUUACAAGUUGUCAUUUAAGAAGGCCCUGAUGAUCAACUAUUUUUGAAGGGACGUUGAUAAAUCUGGAACUGAAAAUUAUAUCAGCCUAUUAGGUUCCACGAUCAACAUACUAGCGUGGGGGUGAACUUUUGAACUACGCUUCUGGCUGGAGAUGCAUGUGUUCGCUGAUGACUUGACCUCAGGUAAGUAUAUUUGAGUUUUGGCAACUGUUGUUGGCGGGUAUCAAAAAGUGAUUUGUUGGCUUUUUCAUGGACUGUGUGCUUUUCACUAUUUUUUGCUUUUGCUUCAAUUUGUUUUCUCUUCUGAUAUUGAAUUGUCAUACCCCACCCAUCCUGAGGUUGAAGGUUUCACGGAGAAAUUUUGGUAUAAAUGUCUUUGGUGUGUUUGGAACGGAGUAAUGAUGGCAACGUAAGGGUUGAUAGAUCCUAAAUCGCUGGAAGGAAUCCAGAAUCUCUAGUUACUAAUAUCUUCCUCCGUUUCCCAGCCUGAAUGACG